CCUACGUGAGGCAGCAGUGAGGAAUAUUGGUCAAUGGACGGAAGUCUGAACCAGCCAUGCCGCGUGCAGGAAGACGGCUCUAUGAGUUGUAAACUGCUUUUGUACAAGGGUAAACCUGAAUACGUGUAUUCAGCUGACAGUACUGUACGAAUAAGGAUCGGCUAACUCCGUGCCAGCAGCCGCGGUACUACGGAGGAUCCAAGCGUUAUCCGGAUUUAGUGGGUUUAAAGGGUGCGUAGGCGGAUUGAUAAGUUAGAGGUUAAAUUUCCGAGCUUAACUCGGGAACUGCCUGUAAUACUGUUGUUCUAGAGAGUAGAUGCGGUAGGCGGAAUGUAUGGUGUAGCGGUGAAAUGCUUAGAUAUCAUACAGAACACCGAUUGCGAAGGCAGCUUACCAAUCUAUAUCUGACGUUGAGGCACGAAAGCGUGGGGAGCAAACAGGAUUAGAUACCCCGGUAGUC
rnacentral:rRNA from 1 species